rnacentral:piRNA from 1 species
UUACCUAGAUUUGAGCUUCUAUCCUACAACU